rnacentral:rRNA from 1 species
GACGAACGCUGGCGGCGUGCUUAACACAUGCAAGUCGAACGGAAAGGCCCUGCUUUUGUGGGGUGCUUGAGUGGCGAACGAGUGAGUAACCCGUGAGUAACCUGCCCUUGACUUUGGGAUAACUUCAGGAAACUGGGGCUAAUACCGGAUCGGAGCUCCUGCUUCAUGGUGGGGGUUGGUAAGUUUCGGCGGUUGGUGAUGGACUCGAGGCUUAUCAGCUUGUUGGUGGGGUAGUGGCUUACCAAGGCUUUGACGGGUAGCCGGCCUGAGAGGGUGACCGGCCACAUUGGGACUGAGAUACGGCCCAGACUCCUACGGGAGGCAGCAGUGGGGAAUAUUGCACAAUGGGCGGAAGCCUGAUGCAGCAACGCCGCGUGCGGGAUGACGGCCUUCGGGUUGUAAACCGCUUUCGCCUGUGACGAAGCGUGAGUGACGGUAAUGGGUAAAGAAGCACCGGCUAACUACGUG